CAGAGGGUGCAAGCGUUAAUCGGAAUUACUGGGCGUAAAGCGUGCGUAGACGGUUACGUAAGUCAGAUGUGAAAGCCCCGGGCUCAACCUGGGAAUUGCAUUUGAGACUGCGUAGCUAGGGUGCGGAAGAGGGAAGCGGAAUUUCCGGUGUAGCGGUGAAAUGCGUAGAUAUCGGAAGGAACACCAGUGGCGAAAGCGGCUUCCUGGUCCAGCACCGCCGUUCAGGCACGAAAGCGUGGGGAGCAAACAGGAUUAGAUACCCUGGUAGUCCACGCCAUAAACGAUGAGGACUAGACGUUGAGAGGGUAAGCCUCCCAGUGUCGCAGCUAACGCGAUAAGUCCUCCGCCUGGGGAGUACGGCCGCAAGGUUG
rnacentral:rRNA from 1 species